UACGUAGGGGGCAAGCGUUGUCCGGAUUUAUUGGGCGUAAAGAGCGUGUAGGCGGUUUGGUAGGUCCGUUGUGAAAACUCGAGGCUCAACCUCGAGACGCCGGCGGAAACCAUCAGGCUAGAGUCCGGAAGAGGAGAGUGGAAUUCCCAGUGUAGCGGUGAAAUGCGUAGAUAUUGGGAGGAACACCAGUGGCGAAGGCGGCUCACUGGACCGGUACUGACGCUGAUGCGCGAAAGCGUGGGGAGCAAACGGG
rnacentral:rRNA from 1 species